rnacentral:misc_RNA from 1 species
GAUGAAGAACGUAGCGAAAUGUGAUACUUGGUGUGAAUUGCAGAAUCCCGCGAAUCAUCGAGUUUUUGAACGCAAGUUGCGCCCGAAGCCAUUCGGCCGAGGGCACGUCUGCCUGGGUGUCACGCAUCGUUGCCCCCCCAAACUCCGGUUCGGGCGGGGCGGAAGUUGGCCUCCCGUGCGUGCCUGCGCGCGCGGUUAGCCCAAAAGCGAGUCCUCGGCGACGAGCGCCACGACAAUCGGUGGUUUUUUUACCCUCGUUCCUCGUCGUGCGUGUCCCGUCGCCCGAACGCGCUCUUGCGACCCUCACGCGUCGCCUCGGCGGCGCUCCCAACGCGACCCCAGGUCAGGCGGGACUACCCGCUGAGUUUAAGCAUAUCAAUAAGCGGAGGA